UUAAAAGAAAUGACUGUCACUUUAAUAUGCAACCACUCCUAGUUUGGCAGGUGUUCUCAGGUGGUAGAUAAAUAUAGACAACACAAUGAAAACAUAAAUGCCACCUGUUUGUUUGGCGGCCAUCAGCAUUUAAAAAAUCUUCAAAGUAGUUGUCUGUAUAGUGGAAUAAUAUUUGAGACUUUGGUCAAACUGGUAAUAAGUAGUUUAAGAAGUAACAUAAGGCACACUUUGAGACAAGAGCAAGAAUAUUUAAUAUUAAUAUUUACUAUUAAUAAAUUAACAUAAAAUGUUUUUUUAUAUCUUUCUUCUUACCUUCAGUAGUUUCUUGGAUAAAAAAUACAUUACAUAAUACAAUAUUAUGCCAGACAACAGCAUAGGAAGAACUAAAGCCACAGUUACUGGCUGGGUUGAGUAUCAUUCAUAGACAAAAUAAUUUGCACUUUGUAUUUCAGCAUUCAUCCCAUUAAAAAGCUACACUCUGUCACUGUAUACCAAGUUAUACAUUUAAUCUCACAAUCAAUUGAAAUGUGUUUAAGAUAUAAAUAUAGGUAUAUAUAUUAUCUUACCGAGAGAAAGGGGUGAGGCAACUGAGGAAGAGAAUGCUGCCGUUGAACACCUGGUGUACUAUUAAGAUACAAUCGUGGCACUGGCAGAACGGGAAAGGACUACCGUAGGUGUGUUUGGUUAAACAAAGGCACACAGUUGAAUAUGUAUGGUCAUUCUGUUCCACUGGAUGAGUUAACAUCUUGUUUUUCUAGCAUUAUGGUUCAGUAGACUUAUGUUUUGUUGGCCCCUAUAACUCAGUUAAUUCAGUUGCCUUCAGUAAUUUGUUUUAUUUAAUCUUUUUGGGGAAAAUAAACCCAACUUUUGAACUUUAAACAAAUGUUAUUGGCAGUGUAAAGACUUUACUACUAUUUUGAUCUAAUUUAUUUUUAUUUUUUGAUUGUAUAUUAUGUACUUAUAAUAAUUUGAUAGCAAGGCUCGGUUCUACUUUGAAUAGCAAAUUCCAAGGGCAAGGUAGGUGAUACAAGUGUGUGUGCACCUGUGCACCUGCUAUUUUGAUUCUAUUAUUCCAUGAAUGUUCACCAGCAUGCUAAAACAUGCAGAACGGCAGAGUGAAGAUAAUUAUAGAGCAUAGGUGAAUAGGUGUGGUUAUUAUAAAAUUUUAUGAACACAGCACUCCUGUCAAUGUAAUGCAAGGUGUUGGACAUAAAGUAACCUAAAAUAAAAUCAAAUAUGUGGAAGGUGUGAUUGAGAUGUAAAUUGAGAAGCUAGAAAAACAUUCAAGUUAAUGGGUUUACAGUUUUAGAAUCAUAUAUAGCUUGAUAUUGAUUUGGGGACAAGGACAUGGCUGGAUAGCUAGCUUGUAUUGUUAAACAUACUGUCAAAUUAUAUUUACCGUUUGUCAAUUGUUGUUAUUCCCUUUUAAUCUAGCUAGCAUAGCGUUAGCUCUGUGUCUCGUAGCUGAGCCAAAGUGUUCUACAAACAGAGGGAACUAGAAAUAUCUCCCAUUGCCAAGUCAUAUCUAAGGUUCGUCCUAUUGACUGGAGUAGUGAAUAAUGUUUGCAUUGCAUUAGAACCUUAUGGGAUGGUAAUGAUUCUUCCAGGUAUUAGGUAGGAACUCAGGUGUUACCAGGGAAAUGAAGAUAUGGCUAGUAAAAAAGUAAAAAAUGCAUGAAAAUAUAAAAUAUUGAUCUUCCUUUUCUUUCUUUGGCAAGUGACCAUUGUAUAAGUGGGAUAAUGCCCUUCGAGGUGUCUAUUAUCAGGAAUUAAUGGACUUCCCUGAAGCGGAGAUUCUGGCCUUCAUUCCUGAUAAUGGACACCUUCCCGGGUAUUAUUUCUUACUUAUCUGACAUGAGUUUGUUCAAUACAGAUUUGUUCCCUCACCAUAUUUGGUUACAGUGCAUUUUCAUCAUCCCACAACUUUAGUCCACACUGAGAUAUCUCAACAGCUAUCAGAUGGGUUGCCAUGACGUUUUAGUACAGAAGACGCAUCAAGUGUGUGCACACCCAGGCGAAAAUAUUACUGCAAGACACAAAAGAGAAAAAGUCUGUACACUGAGGGGGUCCAAAUGAUUAUUUUUAUUCCCUUUUUAUAAAGCAACGUCUCAAUCUGCAAGAUCUCAUUCAGAUAAUGAGAAACUUUAAAUAAAACAUUAUUUUACCAAGUCAAAAUAUUGAGAUACUAAGUCAUUAUUUUGAAAAAAAAUUGAAUUAUAUUGACUUAAAGAAUCCUUUUUUUCCGUCACACUGUCUUCCAUAAGAAAAAGCAAAGUUGUUAUAAUACAGCAAAACUCUCAGACAUACUGUCUGACUAUAACACCUUUGCUAUCCCGUCCAUGAUAGAGAAAAGUAUUUUUAAUUCCGUAAACUUAAUUAAAAGUUAUUUACCCUUAUUCACAGUUAUCAUGCAGCUGGAACCACGAGACGCACAGCUAGCAUAGAGACUGGUA
rnacentral:lncRNA from 15 species